ACUCAAAUGAAUUGACGGGGGCCCGCACAAGCGGUGGAUCAUGUGGUUUAAUUCGAAGCAACGCGAAGAACCUUACCUGGGUUUGACAUCCUCGGACCGAUACAGAGAUGUAUUUUUCGUAGCAAUACGACCGAGAGACAGGUGCUGCAUGGCUGUCGUCAGCUCGUGUGGUGACAUGUUGGGUUAAGUCCCGCAACGAGCGCAACCCCUGUCCUUAGUUGCCAGCAUUCAGUUGGGCACUCUAGGGAGACUGCCGUGGUUAACACGGAGGAAGGUGGGGAUGACGUCAAGUCCUCAUGGCCUUUAUAUCCAGGGCGACACACGUGAUACAAUGGUCGGUACAGAGGGAAGCGAAAGGGUGACCUGGAGCCAAUCUCAAAAAGCCGAUCUCAGUUCGGAUUGGAGUCUGCAAUUCGACUCCAUGAAGUUGGAAUCGCUAGUAAUCGCGGAUCAGCACGCCGCGGUGAAUACGUUCCCGGGCCUUGUACACACCGCCCGU
rnacentral:rRNA from 1 species